ensembl:lncRNA
UAUGGAGGCUGUUUCCAGCCGCAGUGCGGGCACAGCGGGGCCAAAGGCUCCCGCCUUCCCCGCCCUCAGCCCAGCCCGCAGCGCCCUGGCCCGGCUGCUGCCAGGGCAGCAGGAUGUGAAGGGCACCUGGAUCCUCCCCGGCCCCCAGGCUGGGCCACUUCCCCGUGAAGAGGCAGCUUUUUCCUGGCCAAAGCUCUCCCAUACGAAUCCAUCCAUUCCUGUCCCACACGGUCCUGAAUUCCUCCUUUGCAGCCUUUGCCCCAGGAUGCAAAGGGCUCUCUGACUGGGAUGCCCUUGCCCUGCUAUUGUCCGAGCCUGCAGGAAAAGGAAGGAGCGGAGGCCCCCGCGGUUCCUUCCUGCCCGGAGCCGGGGCCGGCCGGGGCUGCUGGGCUGCGCUGGCCCCUCUCCGUGAGCUGCAGCAGCCCCCGGGACCACCACGACGACAACUUUCACAGGACCACACUCACUGCCAGGCAAAGGAGAGGAAGCUGCUAAUGGACGCUAAUGGAGCUGUGAGGAUCCUCCCGGGAGGCAGCCGAGCUGUCCUGGAGCGAGAAAAGCGGCGAACAGCUCACUCGCACUUCCACGCCUGCUCUGGCUGUCGCUCUCGGACAUCCCUCGGGGUUACAGCUUCAACAGAUUAGGGCAGCGGAAGAUUUGCAGCUCCAGGCAAACCACGGAGGAAGGUGGGUUGGGAAAUCUGAGGCCAGUGCAACUACUGCGGAGGAUUUUGGGGAUCUCACGCUCUGCCUUAGCAGCAUCCCAUUUCCGCCAGGUAACACCGGCAUCCUCCUCCCAGGAGCUCUCAGAUGAAGGCAAUACUGCCGGGGCUGGAUCCUGAGCACAGGGAUCUCUUCAUUUUUAUUUUGCCAUUAGGAAUUUUCAAGACUUUUCUCAUGACAAAAAAUGUGCUGUGGGAAAACAGAACAAUCCAAAAAAGAAUUUAUAAGAACAAGACGGUUUGCCCCUGGUUUUGCUGCUUUCCUGCGUGUUUGUGAGUUAGCACUUGUGCUCCCUCUGUCUCUCCCCGGGGAUCACCCACGGUGUCGGCACGAGGAAGGGAUCAGCUCCCAGACUUUCUCCGGGAACCGACCGCUGCAGUGCCCUUCCCGUGCUCCGCAGGCGGGUCAUGCUCUAUUUAUCGGCUCAUUUCCAUACCCGAGUGCUGCAGUGCUGCUUCCGCCAGCCCCGCGAAUUCCAGUGCCACGGACUGUGCCAGCAAAACGGGACCGACAACGAGCUUGUGACAUUGGUCUGCUCACAGCCCGAGCAUCACCUCGGGCUCGUUUCUCAGUGACACACACUGGGGGCUUGGUUCGGUCUCCAAAGGGCCCUGACACCCUCAGGAGAUAUCAGGGAAAAGACAGAAGUAUUUCCAUCUUGGUCACUGGAGCUCCAUCUCAUGGUGUGUUUCAGGCUGUGUGCCAUGACCUCCUCCACGGCUGCAGGAGGAAAUGCCCUGUGAGGGAAGGCUCUUUCUGCACUGGUGAUUAUAAAGGGGGCUCAUUUCCCUGCUGGAGCUCAGAGCAGGUCCUCAGUGGGGGUGGAACAUGUACCAGAAGUCCCCUGGGAGGAGCAGCUUUGUGCAGAGCUGCUGUCUCACUAAAGCAUCACCUCCGUGCCCUGGCCCUGGGUCUGGGACAGGCCCUGUGGCACAGCUGUGGGGCUGCUCCUGAUGUCUCAGGUUUGAGCUUUUCUAUUUUUCAGGUUCUGUGCUGCUUUAGUGUGUGGGUCUGGUUUUGCAUAUUAUGGGAUGUUGAGCUCUUUUCACAGAGCAGGGAGACAAAACAAUUCCUGCUCUAGCUGGGGACCAAGGACAAAUGAUCCAGAUCUCAGGCCCAAGAGCACAAACAGUGUGGGCUGAAGAGAGAAAAACAAGAAGGAUGGGACUGCAUGGGCUGGGGCUGUAAAUGGACAAUGAACUCCAAUAUGCAAAUAGACCAAAACUUAUUAAAGUGAGAGA